rnacentral:rRNA from 1 species
UAGGGAAUCUUCGGCAAUGGACGAAAGUCUGACCGAGCAACGCCGCGUGAGUGAAGAAGGUUUUCGGAUCGUAAAACUCUGUUGUUAGAGAAGAACAAUGACGUUAGUAACUGAACGUCCCCUGACGGUAUCUAACCAGAAAGCCUCGGCUAACUACGUGCCAGCAGCCGCGGUAAUACGUAGGUGGCAAGCGUUGUCCGGAUUUAUUGGGCGUAAAGCGAGCGCAGGCGGUUUCUUAAGUCUGAUGUGAAAGCCCCCGGCUCAACCGGGGAGGGUCAUUGGAAACUGGGAGACGUGAGUGCAGAAGAGGAGAGUGGAAUUCCAUGUGUAGCGGUGAAAUGCGUAGAUAUAUGGGAGAACACCAGUGGCGAAGGCGGCUCUCUGGUCUGUAUCUGACGCUGAGGCUCGAGAGCGUGGGGAGCAAACAAG